rnacentral:rRNA from 1 species
CACGUAGGGGGCGAGCGUUGUCCGGAUUUAUUGGGCGUAAAGAGCUAGUAGGCGGCUCCGUACGUGAGGUGUGAAAACUCCAGGCUCAACCUGGAGACGCCACCUCAUACUGCGGUGGCUAGAGUCCGGUAGGGGAGCAUGGAAUUCCUGGUGUAGCGGUGAAAUGCGCAGAUAUCAGGAGGAACACCAGUGGCGAAGGCGGUGCUCUGGGCCGGUACUGACGCUGAGGAGCGAAAGCGUGGGGAGCAAACAGG